GACGAACGCUGGCGGCGUGCUUAACACAUGCAAGUCGAACGGAAAGGCCCUGCUUUGGUGGGGUGCUCGAGUGGCGAACGGGUGAGUAACACGUGAGUAACCUGCCCCUGACUUUGGGAUAACUUCAGGAAACUGGGGCUAAUACCGGAUAGGAGCUCCUGCUGCAUGGUGGGGGUUGGAAAGUUUCGGCGGUUGGUGAUGGACUCGCGGCUUAUCAGCUUGUUGGUGGGGUAGUGGCUUACCAAGGCUUUGACGGGUAGCCGGGCUGAGAGGGUGACCGGACCAACUGGGACUGAGAUAAGACACAGACUCCUCCGGGAGGGAGCAGUGGGGUAUAGUACACAAUGGGCGGAAGCAUGAUGCAGCAACGCCGCGUGGGGGAUGACGGCCUUCGGGUUGUAAACCGCUGUCGCCUGUGACGAAGCGUGAGUGACGGUAAUGGGUAAAGAAGCACCGGCUAACUCCGUG
rnacentral:rRNA from 1 species